AAAUUGGGAGCGGGUUUGUUUUGUUUGCUACCACCAUUCUUUCCUCGUGGACGAAGACAUACUAGCUGAAUACCCAACUCUCAGCCCACUGCGACAUGUCUAAACUCCAGUCGUUUCGUGUGUUUUUAAAUGAGCGUUUAACUGCGGCUGCUGUGGAGAUAUUCGGGGCAAUUGAGCAAACCGUAGUGGACUACCAGGAGGAGAAUGAUCGGCUACGUAGACUGCUGCGGAUCACACCAAUUAUACAACGAUGUAACAUAGACUCCUUGCAGCUAUCUCUCUGUGUCUCUGAAGAGGAGGUUACCCCUGAGCAGCAGCACUGUGAGCAGGAGUGGAGCCCCAGUCUGGAGCAGGAGAACCCAGAGCUUCCACAGAUUAAAGAGGAGCAGGAGGAACUCAGGACCAGUCAGGAGGAAGAGCAGCUUCAAGGGCUGGAGGCUGAUAUCAUAGAGUUCAAAUUCACUCCCUCCUGUGUGAAAAGUGAAUGUGAUCAGGAGGACCCACUUCAGUCCAUGACUCUUCCCCAAACUCAGACUGUGGAGAACAGAGAGAGUGACCCUAAACAAGUGGAUCUCACACCUUUUGUUACUGUGACCCACCUUAAGGGUCUCUACAUUCCCUGUGACCCUCCAGAUAAUCAAAACAAUACCUCAGGCCACAGCUCAGCCGUAAGCAGCGACCCAGCAGCACUUGACAGCAGCCCAUCAUUGGAUCCCAACUCACCAUUGGAUUCCAGUCCGUCAUUGGAUCCAAGCCCAUCAUUGGAUCCAAACCAGUCAAUGGUGGAACACUGUUUCAAACCCAGCACCAUGUCUAGAAAAACUCACCGCUGCCGUGACUGUGGCGAAAUGUUUGCGAUGAAAGCUGACCUGCAGAGGCAUGUGACUCUCUUUAAGAAGAGGCCCAGUGAAUGUCGCUUCUGCAAAAUAAACUACAACUCCACCUGUAAACUAAAGGCCCAUGUCCGACUCUGUCACAGUGUGAAACCCUACACCAGCCCUGUUUGUGGCAAGACCUUCAAACUCAAAGGGGAUCUGUCCAAGCACAUGAAGACUCACACGGGAGAUAAAUCAUUUAAGUGUGGUGACUGUGGGAAAAGCUUCAAUCAGAAGUGGACCCUAAGGAAGCAUAAACUGACUCACACAGGAGAGAAACCAUUUAUCUGUGGAGAAUGUGGGAAAAGCUUCUAUCAGAAGGGGGACUUAAGUAGGCAUAUACGGACUCACACAGGAGAGAAAUUAUUUCUCUGUGGUGAUUGUGGGAAAAGCUUCAAUUUGAAAGGGAACCUUAGGAAGCAUAAACUGACUCACACAGGAGAGAAACCAUUUCUCUGUGAUGACUGUGGGAAAAGCUUCAGUCAGAAGGGGACCCUAGGGAAGCAUGAACUGACUCACACAGGAGAGAAACCAUUUAUCUGUGGAGACUGUGGGAAAAGCUUCAGUCAGAAGGGGACCCUAAGGAAGCAUAAACUGACUCACACAGGAGAGAAACCUUUUAGCUGUGAUGACGUGGGAAAAGCUUCACUCAAAAGUCUAACAUGUGAAAAACAUCCUGAAAUGAAGAAAACAGAAUGAAAACUGAAAAAAACUGAACAAAAAUUAGGACAAAGAUCUAUUCAGUCACAAGAUGAGAAUAAAAAGGCAGGAUGUGGACAACACUGAGUACAUGCUCAUAGACUCACAUCCGGUGGUUGGUGAAGGACGACAGGAUGAUACCUCUCCUAGGGACCUGCUCUCUAUGCUUCAGGAUUAAAGUUCCUCUGUUUUCUGAUCUAUUCUAUUGGUAACCUGCUGUUUCUCUCCACAGUGCUCUCUGCUACUCUGGUCUACAUGGAGGGCCUAGCUACUUUACAUCUGUCUGGAGGGACAGAUAGAGGUCACAGAAUGAGGCUUCUAGUCUCAACACUUUCCAAGGCUUUUUAGAGGAAAAUACCUUUUCAGUUCAUGUGACAAGUGCCUUCUUCUCUGACAAUGGCACUGCUAAUGAACUCAGUGAUGAUGCUUAUUUUCUCCCCACUAGAUGACACUGUUUGAGAUGUGAUCGCAGUAGCCCUGUAGGUCUAACUUGUUAGUCAUUUCAGUUCAUUCUCCCCAUACCUAUGAGGGUAUGUGGGUAUAAUGUUAAAUGAAUCAACACUGUUACCCAUUACUAAACACAUUGAAACACACACACUGUAUUAUAACCAAACAGGACCAUGCUAAACUGAACUGGGCAUGACUGACCUGACCAUGGGAAUGAGGGUCUUAGGUGAUGUGUACUGGGGUCAAAUGUGACUGUGACUACUUUUUAAUGUAUAUAUUACAUGUUUUUAAUUACCAGGUAACAUAUUCUCAUUUAAAGCAACGACCUGAUGAAUAGUUACAGGGGAGAGGAGGGGGGAUGAAUGAGCCAAUUGGAAGCUGGGGAUGAUUAGGUGGCCGUGAUGGUAUGAGGGCCAGAUUGGGAAUGUAGUCUCUCUUGCCCUCUUUCUGUGUGUGUAAGCGCAAACUCUGUUUUAUAUGCAUCAUUGUUUUUUCAGUCGCAUUUCAAUAACAUUCUUUAUAAUUGCUGUUGAUAACUGCAUUCUCUGGUUUAGUGCCUGCUGUCCCAUCAGUCCCAAGCAUCUGCCAUUAGUCGCAUGUGUUACAAUGUGUUGUCUUUUAAUUCAGUUCAUGCAAGGAAUGAUCAUCCUAGAUCAGCCUAUUACUUAACAUGUGGGAAAACAAUUAUAUAAUAUAUUUACAUUAUAAUUUGUAUGGCGCUUGUAGUAUAACCCCAUCCACAUCGGGGCGUUAUGUUUAUGGACUAGCCACCCGCUGAUAAAAACAGAAUAAGACAAUACGGAAGAAACUGUGAGCGGAUUGUUUUGUUUAUGCCCACCAUUCUUUCCUCGUGGACGGAAGGUAUACUAGCUGAAUAGCCAACUCUCCGUCGACAGAAACAUGUCUAAACUACAGUCGUUUCGUGUGUUUUUAAAUGAGCUUUUAACAGUGGCAGCUGUGGAGAUUUUCGGGGCACUUGAGCAAACAGUAGCGGAGUACCGCGAGGAGAAUGAUCGGCUACGGAGACUGCUGCGGAUCACACCGGAGAUACAACUAUGUAGAAUAGACUCCCUGCAGCUCUCUCUCACUGUCUCUGAAGAGGAGGUUCUCCCUGAUCAGCAGCAGCAGCACUGUGAGCAGGAGUGGAGCCCCAGUCUGGGGCAGGAGAACCCAGAACUUCCACAGAUUAAAGAGGAACAGGAGGAACUCAGGACCAGUCAGGAGGAAGAGCAGCUUCAAGGUCUGGAGGCUGAUUUCAAAUUCACUCCUUCCUGUGUGAAAAGUGAAUGUGAUCAGGAGGACCCACUUCAGCCCUUCACUUCUCCCCAAACCCAGACUGUGGAGAACAGAGAGAGUGACCAUAAACAAGUGGACCUCACACCUUUUGUUACUGUGACCCACCUUAAGGGCCUCUACAUUCCCUGUGACCCUCCAGAUAAUCAGAACAAUCCCUCCAGCCAAAUCUCAGCCGUAAGUAGCGACCCAGUGGCACUUGACAGCAGCCCAUCAUUGGAUCCAAAUCCAUCAGUGGUGGAACACUGUUUCAAAACCAGCACCAUGUCCAUAAAAACUCACCGCUGCCGUGACUGUGGUGAAAAGUUUGCAGAGAAAACUGACCUGCAGAGGCAUGUGACUCUCAUCAAGAAGAGAAUCAGUGAAUGUCGCUUCUGCAAGAAACACUACAAUUCUACCUGUAAACUGAAGGCCCAUGUCCGCCUCUGUCACAGUGGGAAACCCAACACCUGCUCUGUUUGUGGCAAGACUGUCAAACUCAAAGGAGAUCUGUCCAAGCACAUGAGGAUUCACACAGGGGAGAAACGUUCUUGUUGUUGCGACUGUGGGAAGAGCUUUAAUCGCAAGUGGUCCCUAACCUCGCAAACAUACUCACACAGGAGAGAAAUCAUUUAGCUGUGCUGACUGCGGGAAAAGCUUCAGCCAGAAGGGGACCCUAACAGCGCAUAUACGGACUCACACAGGCGAGAAAUAAUUAAGCUGUGAUGUGUGCGGCGAAAGCUUCACUCGAAAGUCUAACUUACUGAUUGAUCCAUGUGGAAAACAGGAUGAAAACUGAAAGAAAACAGAAAAUUAGGACAAAGAUGUAUUUAGUCACAAGAUGAGAAUAAAAAGGCAGGAUGUGGACAAUAUUCUUAGUACAUGCUCAUAGACUCACAUCUAUUGGUUGGUGGAGGACGAUACGAUGAUACCUCUCCUAGGGACCUGCUCUCCAUGCUUCAGGAUUAAAGUUCCUCUGGUCUCUGAUCUAUUCUAUUGGUAACCUGCUGUUUCUCUCCACUGUGCUCUCUGCUACUCUCUGGUCUACAUGGAGGGCCUAGCUACUUUACAUCUGUCUGGAGGGAGAGCUAGAGGUCACAGAAUGAGGCUUCUAGUCUCAGGACUUUCCAAGGCUUUUUAGAGGAAAAUACCUUUUCAGGUCAUGUCACAAGUGCCUUCUCCUCUGACAAUGACACUGCUAAUGAACUCAGUGAUGACACUUCUCCUUUCUCCCCACUAGAUGGCACUGUUUGAGAUAUGAUCCCAUCACACCAUCUGUUGUAUUUAAAACUUGUUAGUCAUUUGAAAUCAUUCUUCACAGACCUAUGUGGGUAUAAUGUUAAAUGAAUCAACACUGUUACCCAUUACUAAACACAUUGAAACAGACACACUGUAUUAUAGCCAAACAGGACCAUGCUAAACUGAUCUGACCACAAGGGGAUGUCAUAGAAUAGAUGGUGUGUACUGUGGGGUCAAAGGUGACUGUAAAUCAGUAUUAGGUUCUUAACGUCUGAGUGGCAUACUACGAAGCAAGCUAAAUCAACUCAGGGUUUUCUAAAGCUAACCAGCUUCAGUUAGCUUCACAUUCCAGCUCAGGCUUCAUCCGUACUAUGACAGUGGAUAUUGCUUGUCCGCCUGCCACUAACUCUAGCAGGCUUGUAGCUGCGCUUGCACGUCCCACAUGGUUAGUCGAACGCCAAACUCUUGAGACAAUGCUGAAAAAUCAACCCGUGUGCGAGUCAGUGCCACGUUUUCAUUUGUGAAGAAAUCUAAAUGAAAGAAAAUUGAUCUUUCAAAUUCAUCAGACUAUGUUGUGAAAUAGGCUUUUAGAAGUGCUGUCUUUAUUUGAUUACUUAUCAUUAAUGCAGUCUUUGGUGUGCUUAUCGCUCCUUAUUCUAUGUGUGGAACAGCUUGUUGUGUUGUGGCCAUAGACAUAAUCCAUAGAAGGGUUUUGUGACCUCUGACCCUGUCAAUUUGACUGUUAAACUCAUGGGUACACUAGCAAUGGCUGGCAGUCUUGACUUGAAUAUGAACUACCAUCUAUGGAUUAUAUGUCUAUGGUUGGUUGUGGCUGUCAGUUUGUCUUGCAAAUUUCUAAAUAGAACAGUGUGGAAAACAUACAGUUUGGUAAGCAAAUGCUGUCGUUACUUAUUUGUUUUCAUUUAAAAUGGUCAAAAUCACAGUAAGGUACUGAAUUGUAACCCAGAAAUGAUUUGAUAUGAAGAUAAAAACGGCUGCAUUAGUCCUUUAAAUGCUCUCCAAAGGAGGACAUAGUCAUUCUAUACAUACAGGCUACUAUACUAAUGAAUACAUAAAG